UAGGAAGGGGGCUAGCGUUGCUCGGAAUCACUGGGCGUAAAGCGCACGUAGGCGGCUUCUUAAGUCAGGGGUGAAAUCCUGGGGCUCAACCCCAGAACUGCCCUUGAUACUGAGGAGGUUGAGUCCGGGAGAGGUGAGUGGAACUCCGAGUGUAGAGGUGAAAUUCGUAGAUAUUCGGAAGAACACCAGUGGCGAAGGCGGCUCACUGGCCCGGUACUGACGCUGGGGUGCGAAAGCGGGGGGAGCAAACAGG
rnacentral:rRNA from 1 species